rnacentral:rRNA from 1 species
AAAUGAAUAGACGGGGGCCCGCACAAGCGGUGGAGCAUGUGGUUUAAUUCGAUGCAACGCGAAGAACCUUACCAGGGCUUGACAUCCCGCGAACCCCGUGGAAACACGGGGGUGCCCGCAAGGGACCGCGGAGACAGGUGGUGCAUGGUUGUCGUCAGCUCGUGUCGUGAGAUGUUGGGUUAAGUCCCGCAACGAGCGCAACCCUCGCCCUUAGUUGCCAGCACGCAAGGUGGGCACUCUAAGGGGACUGCCGGUGACAAACCGGAGGAAGGUGGGGAUGACGUCAAAUCCUCAUGCCCCUUAUGUCCUGGGCUACACACGUGCUACAAUGGCCGGUACAAACGGAGGCGAACCUGCGAGGGGGAGCGAAUCCGAAAAAGCCGGCCUCAGUUCGGAUUGCAGGCUGCAACUCGCCUGCAUGAAGGCGGAAUCGCUAGUAAUCGCAGGUCAGCAUACUGCGGUGAAUACGUUCCCGGGCCUUGUACACACCGCCCGU